CGGAGGGUGCGAGCGUUGUCCGGAAUCACUGGGCGUAAAGGGCGCGUAGGCGGCGCGGUAAGCACGCGGUGAAAGCCCGGGGCUCAACCCCGGGUCGGCCGUGCGGACUGCCGCGCUGGAGCACUGUAGAGGCGGGCGGAAUUCCGGGUGUAGCGGUGGAAUGCGUAGAGAUCCGGAAGAACACCGGUGGCGAAGGCGGCCCGCUGGGCAGUGGCUGACGCUGAGGCGCGACAGCGUGGGGAGCAAACAGGAUUAGAUACCCUGGUAGUCCACGCCGUAAACGAUGGGCACUAGGUGCCUGGGGGAGCGACCCCCCGGGUGCCGGCGCUAACGCAUUAAGUGCCCCGCCUGGGGAGUACGGCCGCAAGGCUG
rnacentral:rRNA from 1 species